rnacentral:misc_RNA from 1 species
UUUCCGUAGGUGAACCUGCGGAAGGAUCAUUCAUAAUAAAGUGUUUUAUGGCACUUUUUAAAAAUCCAUAUCCGCCUUGUGUGCAAUGUUAGAUCUCGUCAAUCUUGGCGAGAUUUUUAUACAUCAACUCAUUCUUUAACUAAUUUGUCUGAAAAAUAUUAUGAAUACUUAAUUCAAAAUACAACUUUCAACAACGGAUCUCUUGGCUCUC